UUAACAGGUAGCUAGUGUAGAGAUGAUAAAAUUGGGGUUAUAUGGUCAUACUUUCUUGUCGUAGUGAGAACUCUGGCAGCUGCAUUUUGGACUAACUGUAGCCUAGUUAUUAAAGAUGUGAUUUUAAAAGACAGGUUGCUGUUGCAGUACAUCCCUCUGAAUGGAAGUUGAAUAGUGAGAGCUUCUGUGUACUGGCUUUUGGACCGAUAAGUAGUAUUUCUGUAUGUGUUUCUGGACUCAUGACCAAAGUGUGUAGUAAAAAUGUUUCUGUAUAAUGUUUAUUUACCUUUUUUUCUCCAAUGUCAGCGUCAGCGUCAGUCUCUGUUCCACUCAAUGGUAAAGCUGUAACAUGGAAAAAUUCUCAUGAUGGAGGUCUCCUGUUUGAUGAAUCAUGCUGCGUUGAAUUUGAAACACAUCCUCAGACUCCAACUCUUCCUCUGGACAUCGGCUCUUCUAAAGCUUAGGAAGAAGUCUAUUCAAGCACCUUUCCAUUUUUUUAACCGUUUCAAGACCAGUCCUUAACUACUCUUCUGCAAGCACGGAUGUGUUGGUGGAAACCACAGCAGUAUCUCUAAUAUUACUGUACUGUAUGUUCAAGGAAACCCAGAACUCUGUCUGCAUUUGUGUCUACACUUUGAAUGCAAGUAUUUGAAAAUUCAAUCAAAGCCAGCUAAAUAGUGGACACAUUUUUGUACUUAGUGAUCACAACUAGCUCUACAUAAAGGCAGCACCACUAGGUGGCACAGUGUUUUGCGUACAGCACACGGAUGCAUGUCAUGGAUAGCUUGGACUGUUCCCUGUCUGAACACCAGGGGGACGUUAUGGCAGGCUUUGUUUUGUCUUGUGCAAUGUGCUUUAGUUUUUGUUUUGUGUAUCUGUGUUAGCCAAGCCCCUUGGUAAUCAGUUCCCGACUAUAUACACCUAUUCCUUGUGUUUCGAUGAUUGCCCUCCCUGUUAAUACCAGUAGUCUUGUGUCUGUUUUUUGCUAAGUCCUUGUGUGUUUGUGUUUUUGGUUUGUUGUCAUACCUCCUGGCUUCUGUUGUGUUUGUUGUUUUCCCUAAUAUACCCCUUUAUAGGAUAAUCUAAGCAUUUUCUUCUGGAUUUUUCCUCAAAGACAGCCCUGUUCCCUGACAUGCUGCUACAUUAUGGAUGGAAGCAUCAGUGGUGGUUUUAAGAGCACAAAGUCUAGCACCAGUCCAAAAUCAUGUUCAUGUUGAGAAAGAAAUUGAUUUCUUAAUUAUAUGAAUGUUUUCUUGAAGCUUUUUACACAUUGUGCUGGUGUAGUCUCAUAAAGAUUGCACAAUACAAAUGAAUCUUUAAUAAAAACAGCUCUUUGUAUUUCAA